UACGAAGGGGGCUAGCGUUGUUCGGAAUUACUGGGCGUAAAGCGCACGUAGGCGGACAUUUAAGUCAGGGGUGAAAUCCCGGGGCUCAACCUCGGAACUGCCUUUGAUACUGGGUGUCUAGAGUAUGGAAGAGGUAAGUGGAAUUGCGAGUGUAGAGGUGAAAUUCGUAGAUAUUCGCAGGAACACCAGUGGCGAAGGCGGCUUACUGGUCCAUUACUGACGCCGAGGUGCGAAAGCGUGGGGAGCAAACAGG
rnacentral:rRNA from 1 species